AACGAACGCUGGCGGCGUGCCUAAGACAUGCAAGUCGGGCGAGAAAGGGACUUCGGUCCUGAGUACAGCGGCGCACGGGUGAGUAACGCGUGGGUAACCUACCUCGAAGUCUGGAAUAACCCGGGGAAACCUGAGCUAAUACCGGAUGAGCCUACGAGGCCUUAGGGUCAUGUGGGAAAAGAUGGCCUCUGCUUGCAAGCUAUCGCUACGAGAUGAGCCCGCGUCCCAUUAGCUAGUUGGUGAGGUAACGGCUCACCAAGGCGACGAUGGGUAGCUGGUCUGAGAGGACGAUCAGCCACACUGGAACUGAGACACGGUCCAGACUCCUACGGGAGGCAGCAGUCGGGAAUAUUGGGCAAUGGGCGCAAGCCUGACCCAGCGACGCCGCGUGAGGGAUGAAGGCCUUCGGGUCGUAAACCUCUGUCGGGAGGGAAGAAUGGCGGUGAGGCGAAUAGGCUCGCUGUCUGACGGUACCUCCAAAGGAAGCGCCGGCUAACUCCGUGCCAGCAGCCGCGGUAAUACGGAGGGCGCAAGCGUUGUUCGGA
rnacentral:rRNA from 1 species